CAACANAGGGAAGCAAGACCGCGAGGUGGAGCAAAUCCCUAAAAGCCAUCCCAGUUCGGAUUGCAGGCUGCAACCCGCCUGUAUGAAGUUGGAAUCGCUAGUAAUCGCGGAUCAGCAUGCCGCGGUGAAUACGUUCCCGGGCCUUGUACACACCGCCCGUCACACCAUGAGAGUCGGGAACACCCGAAGUCCGUAGCCUAACCGCAAGGGGGCGCGGCGAAGGUGGGUUCGAUAAUUGGGGUGAAGUCGUAACAAGGUAUC
rnacentral:rRNA from 1 species